AAAAAUAAAGAAUUUCUAUAUUCUAUUAUAUGUAAGUUAUUUUACCUAAUCUUAUCAACAUCUCAACAGAGCAUCUUUCAGUGUGAAUAGAAUUUAAAAAAUCAUACUUGUUACUUGUGGAUCAAUUUUCCUCUCAAGGUAGACAAUAAAUAUCAAAUUUCGUAGUACCUGAUUCUGAAUUAAUUCUCAAGGAAGAUAUUUAUUUCUAAUAAAAUAAUUCAAAUCUCUACUGUAUGCAUUUCUUGGACUAUCAACAAAUACAAACCAUAGGCCAACCACCAAGGAACUGCAACGUAAUUAAUCCUGUUUAAAUAUUGGUGAUGAGAGUGUCACCUUCUAACAUUCAAAACACCAGAGUUUGUUUAAAAAUUUUAAACAUGACUUAUCUUCAGUCAUCUGUGUGGAAGCUUCCUAAGAUGCAUAGCUACUUUGAGUUGUUUUUGUCAAUGUUUGCCUUUAAAAAUCAGCUAAAACUAGGUUUGGCUACUUCUGAGAAUGAGAUUAGGAGAAAACUGCCUUGUGUCAUACCUCUGUCUUUAAAAGAAGUCAGACCAAUUAUCUUUAGGGUACUCUACCCCUGACAUGGAAGUCUGGGAUGGGGAACAGAAUAAGUCUCCCACAAUUCAGGUGGAAACAGUUAGAGACCUUCUACUUCACCUGGACUGCUACAAGUCCAUGAGGCAGAAUGGGAUCCUCCUGAGGGUGCUGAGAGAGCUGGCAAAGGUGAUUGCUAAACCACUUUCCAUCAUCAUUCAGCAUUCCUGGUCAAUCAGAGAGGUCCCAGGACUCUCAUCUAUGAGAAGGGUCAUAAGGUGGAUCUGGAGAACUACAGGCCCAUCAGCCUCACCUUAGGAAUGGCUAUGAAUUGUGCCAGGGGAGGAUCAGGUUGAAUAUCAGGAAAAAUUUUUUUGAUAGAGUGGUCAGGUGCUGGAAUGGGCUGCCUAGGGAGGUGGUGGAGUCAUUGUCCCUGGAGGUGUUCAAGAAAUGUUAGAUGUACCAAAGGACGUGGUUUAGUGGGGAAAUAUCCAUGGUGGGUGGACAGUUGGACUAGAAGAUCUUGAAGGUCUUUUCCACCCUUGGUGAUUCUAUGAUUCUGUGAAUAUUCCGGUGGCCUCUUUUUUUGACAAAUACAUUACGCUUUUGAGGCAGACACCUCAGACUUGUCAAGGAGUGUAGAUUGCAACAGCACUCUAGUUGUUUCUCCAGUUGAGUCCCCAUUCUUCCUCCAUCUCUCUGCAUGCAGUCAGUUCAAGCUGGACCUGCUCUGUUGACUUGCUAAGACAGAUGAUACCCUUUUACUAUCAGAUGCAUUUGUCUGAAUUAAAUCCAUUAGCUAUCUAGCUUUCACAUUUGCUACAACUGUGUUUAAUAUCACACUAGCAUUAGCACAGGGUCUGUUGGAUCUCAUUGUUUCCCCAGGUGACACCUGCCUAUCACCAACAGAGAAACUUUGCAGUUACAGCUUGACAGCUGCUAUAAUGUACAACUGGUUUACAUUACUCCAAAUGACUGCAACAGAACCUUGGAACUCUAGAACAGUGCUGCCCAGCACAAAGUAAAGGGUGGGUAAGGGUGUGUAGGCAGGGUGAUGUGUAGAGAGAAGUCAUACACAGGUGAAGCUACACAGUCAAAUGAUAUGUUCCUACAAAAUAAUUUCUGAAGAAAGUUUGCUUGCUUACAAGAACAUUUUAUUUUAGCAGUAGGAUAUAUUACCACCGUAUGUAUUUGCUGAAUUUAAUUCAAAUACUGAAACUGCUCCUGAUUUGGCAAAUGCCCAAGUAUAAUGGGUGAUGUUUCCAAUACUCAUUCAGAGUUUCAAGUACUUUUAAUAAUAUUUUGGUGAUAAGGAUAACCUAAAAUAGAUCCCUUCUCAUUUCAGAUUUGGCAUCAAAACUGAAGAACAUUUCCAUAUCUAUAUGUUAAUGCCAAUAAACAUUUGUUUCAGCUAAUACUUCAAGCUAUCUCAUGUUCAAGUCUAAAUGGUGUUCCCAUUGUCUUUAAAAAAAGUCUGAAACCGCAAACAAGAGGUGUAUAUCCUGCUUUGAUGUCACUUCCUAAAGUGAAUACAUCAAGCUGUGCAGCAUAAUUUCUUUGUGUAGAUUCCUCCAUGUACUAUUAAAUAAGUUCUGAGUAAAAGUAAGCAUGUUCUUAAAGUGUUAAAAGCUUGGCUACUUGUUUUCAAAUAUGUAACUGCACAAUAUAAAUGAAGAAAUUAAGAAAAAUAAAGAGUUCUUUUUUUUUUAAUUAUGUAAUAUGGAGAAGGCUUACCAGUUAUUUGCAAACCUGAUGUUUCUCAUUCAACUUGACUUUCUCUUUUAGUAUAAUAAUGGGCAUUCUGCAAAAAAUUACACUGAGCAAAACUCAAUUGUUAGUGUGAAAUGUUAUUUGCAUGACGCUUCUUAUUCAUCUUCUGCAUUUCACUACCUCAGUCUUUCCUUCUUCUCUGAGUAACUUGUGUAUAUUUUUAAUGAUGUUUUUUUUUGUCUCUAGAGAAAUAUGCAUUACAUAUCUUUUUAAUACAAGGUAAAAAAUAACUUCUUGUUUUCAGACAUUGUAUUCCAAAACAAACUUGGAAUUUCCUCCUUUCUUUGCUGAAAGUAUCCUUCAACAACAUACAGGUGAAAUGAUCUGCUCUGUUACAAUGGAGUGCUCUUUCCCUGCCUACCCCUGCUCUCCUCAUCUGGUAAUUUUGUGAAUAUUUCAGGCCUUGGCACUUAUGGCAUCUGUGUUGACAUAAUUUUUUUCAUUCUAUUUCUAAGAAAAAAUGUAGUCCCUCAGAUACUCUAUGAUUUAAACUAUUAAAAGCACUAGAUUUUUCAAAAUUAGAUUGACAUCACCUAAGGGGAAUGUUCAAAUUGGAAACAUACUCC
ensembl:lncRNA